rnacentral:rRNA from 1 species
CCUACGGGUGGCAGCAGUGAGGAAUAUUGGUCAAUGGACGUAAGGCUGAACCAGCCAAGUCGCGUGAAGGAAGACGGACCUAUGGGUUGUAAACUUCUUUUAUAGGGGAAUAAAGGUAUCCACGUGUGGGUAUUUGUAUGUACCCUAUGAAUAAGCAUCGGCUAACUCCGUGCCAGCAGCCGCGGUAAUACGGAGGAUGCGAGCGUUAUCCGGAUUUAUUGGGUUUAAAGGGUGCGUAGGUUGUUUUGUAAGUCAGUGGUGAAAGUUUGGGGCUCAACCAUAAAAUUGCAGUUGAAACUGGAAGUAGUGAGUAUGUGAGAGGUAGGCGGAAUGCGUGGUGUAGCGGUGAAAUGCAUAGAUAUCACGAAGAACUCCGAUUGCGAAGGCAGCUCACUGGGCCAUAACUGACACUGAGGCACGAAAGCGUGGGGAUCAAACAGGAUUAGAUACCCGAGUAGUC